CUUGUCAAUGAUGUUUAUCCAUCCCAUAGCGUUUUGAAGUUGAUGAAACCACUUCACAUGCACUACCAUCUGAGACAGC